rnacentral:rRNA from 1 species
UACGUAGGGCGCAAGCGUUGUCCGGAAUUAUUGGGCGUAAAGAGCUCGUAGGCGGCUUGUCACGUCGGGUGUGAAAGCCCGGGGCUUAACCCCGGGUCUGCAUUCGAUACGGGCAGACUAGAGUGUGGUAGGGGAGAUCGGAAUUCCUGGUGUAGCGGUGGAAUGCGCAGAUAUCAGGAGGAACACCGGUGGCGAAGGCGGAUCUCUGGGCCAUAACUGACGCUGAGGAGCGAAAGCAUGGGGAGCGAACAGG